AUUUAUAUAAUGACUUUGGGAGUUUUGGAAAAAUAUCGCGGUUUGGGAAUCGGAACUUUACUUUUGAAACACAUCAUAAACCUUUGCGAAAAAGAUACCUCUCUAGUUGAAAUUUUUCUUCAUGUUCAAAUUGAUAAUCAAGAAGCGCUUAACUUUUACAAAAAAUUUUCUUUUCAGCAAGUGGAGCUUGUGAAAAA